GAUGAACGCUGGCGGCGUGCCUAAUACAUGCAAGUCGAGCGAACGGACGAGAAGCUUGCUUCUCUGAUGUUAGCGGCGGACGGGUGAGUAACACGUGGAUAACCUACCUAUAAGACUGGGAUAACUUCGGGAAACCGGAUCUAAUACCGGAUAAUAUUUUGAACCGCAUUGUUCAAAAGUGAAAGACGGUCUUGCUGUCACUUAUAGAUUGAUCCGCGCUUCAUUAGCUAGUUGGUAAGGUAAUGGCUUACCAAGGCAACGAUGGAUAGCCGACCCGAGAGGGUGGUUCGACACAUUGGCACUGAGACACGGUCCCCACUCUUAGGGUGGGCCGCGGCCGGGACUCCUCCGCAAUGGGCGAGAGCCUGACAGUGCAACGCCGCGUGAGUGCUGAAGGUCCUCGGCUCCUAAAAUUCUGUUAGUCGGAAAGAACAUAUGUGUAAGUAACUGUGAAGAUCUUGACGGUACCGAAUCAGAAAGCCACGGCUAACUCCGUG
rnacentral:rRNA from 1 species